GUGAACUGCGUCGCUGCAGCUGCGUCCUGUUUCCUUCUUCCACCUGAAUGACAGCCGAGUCUGCGGGACGAGCCGGUGGUGUGUGUUUCUCAGCUCAUUUCACUAAUUGACACCAUCUGCUGAUUCGUCGUUCGCAACUGUUGGGUAAAAUAGUUGAAAGGUCCUGCAAGCUGGCCCUGGAGUUUCAGCUGUCGUCUCAUCUUGGCACGGCGGUUUUGAAACCAAACCUGGAAACAAAUGAGAAGUACUGUUGAUGUUUAAUCCCAUCUUUCAUAGUAUAAAUAGUAUGCAGGAGGAACGAGUACAGAAACCAAUGACUGUUUCAAUGUACAUCCAGCAGCUGUGGUUUGAACUCACCUAUGCCCUCUGUGAGUGGCCCCAUCCCGACUGCCUGUGUGGCCAGGAGCAAAGCUUCCUUGCAUGUCUCUGGCUGCAAAUAAUUCCUCAAGGAUUCAUAGCUGAUAAAGGGCCCUGGGAUCAGGAUCUGAGGUUGGGAACCCAGCCUGCUUGGGAAUGCAGGGAAAAAGUGAGCUGCAGGUGAAUGGAAAACUGCAGGCAGGAGAGUAGACACCAGCUGCCUUGGGCCAAACAUGUCCAAGCUAUUAAGAGUCCAAUAUUAAGUCUCAGUCCACUGAAAAGGGCCAGGUUGACGCCUACAGGGAUGCUGGUGGAUUGGUGAAAUGCAUCCCAACGUCCAGAGUAAAAAAGAAAAGAAUUAUGAUCGUCCACCAGAUGUAUCCUGUUAGAGCUGCUGUAUGUAGCUGAGGUGCUCAGUGCAGGUAUAAGGUGUUGCCUGAAGAGUUUAGGUAAGACCUGAAUAGUGGAGGUGGUCUCACCUUAGCAUUCUACUCUUCUCCUCCAAUCCUCUCCCCCUCCUUUUCUGGUCACAUGAUCUCCAAACAGACGGCAGGGCUUGCUUUAUAGGACAGAGGUGAAAAUCCAACCUGUGAAUCAUCUCUCAGAGGAUUAUCAGUAUUACUCCAUCAAUGUUUGCUGUGUUCGUCAUUACUUUCCCAACCACACGUGUUCUCAAUCUGUUUCUUACAUUAUAGUGAUUUUGCUCUCUCUUCCUACCUGGGACAAGUUGCAACAUCUUUGGCUUCUGAAAUUUCAAUCAGUGAAAUGGACAGGAGCUCAGCGUGUGAAAACUCAGUUUUGAAGAAGUGUGCUCAUUUAGACACGUUCACCUCAAAGAUUUACACAACCUUUAUCUGACAGGUUUAACAGUUGUGAAAUAUAAUAAGAACAAAUGACUAGAAAGGAGACAUAAUGAAAACACAAAACACUGUGGGAUGAAAACAAGCACAAACGCAGCAGACUUUGAAUAGCAGGUUCCAGGAUAAACCCACUCUUCCUGACAGUAUAGUGACGAACUUGAACACUUAUUUGCUUAAUGUUUUAAUCCCUCCUGGGAACCCCUGUGUUUGUUGAUUUAAUUGUAUUGUUUUUAAGUCCUAAGUAACAUAAGUUGUGAUGUUUUGAUUUAUUUUCCACAUCACCAAGACAGGCUGUGCAAAAAUUAUCAUGUCUGUUAACCUUCAAAGCAAUCCACUUAAUGAGCAGUAGCAGAGACACAAAUCCCUUCUUAAAAUGACAGGAGAAAUCCACUGAUGAAAUAUUAAAUGAGGUAAACCAGGUGUAAUGGCAGUUUAACACCUGUAAGAAUAGCAAACUACUGAAUUAUUGUGAUUAGCUGCUACAGUAGUACAAAUGUGUAUUUUGCAUGUCAUGCUUUUAAUCCUUGUUAUCAAGGAUUCGUUUUAAUGGUCAUUUUACAAAACAUGGUUGUAUAUUGAAAUUUAUGUUUGUAGCCCCUUUAUGCAUUAUACAUAAACACAAACAAGACAGAGCAAAACAUAAUACAAAAUUAUUAAUUUCUAUGGCGUGAGGGGGAUGAAUAUAAAAGUCUCACAGCUUGGGGAAAGUAGUUGUUCUGGAGCAUGGUGCUAUGGCAGCAGAUAUUCUGUAUCUCUUGCCAGAUGGAAGCAGGGUGAACAGGCUAUAGCUGGGGUAGUUGGCACCCCACCAAUAUCACUGAUGCUUGGUACAUGGGUACCAAUGAUGUUAUGGGUGAUCACCUACUGCAGAGCCCUCUGGUCUUGCGCCGUGCACAAACCAUGCAAAUUUGUGAUGUUUCCAGUCAGAAAGCUUUCUAUUGCUCAUCUGUAAAAAGCCGUUUCUGAGCUUUCUUAACCAGGGUGGACAUGUGAGAUGACCAUGACAGGUUCUUUGUGAUACUGAUUCCCAGGAACCUGAAACUGUUCACCUGUUCCACCUCAACUCCACUGAUGUAAACAGGAGUGUGUCUUUAUCUCCUUUUUUCCAAAACCAACAAUCAGCUGCUUAUACAUGUCAUCUUUAUAUUUAACACAUAGGCACGUCUUGGAAAUGUUUUAUGAGCAACCCAUUUAAAAUUCAAAAUAGUUUGUUCCCUAAAAUCUUUUAGUGUAGCUGUCGAAUAAAUGUUAUAUUAAAAGGAAUAAAGAAAAUCCUGUAAAAUAGAAUAACGUAAAGUUUUUGCCUAAGUGCUAACCCCAGCUUGUGCCUCUCAUGUAAUAGUAUAAGCAUUACAUUCGAGUCGCAAUGCUAUGCAUCAGUUUCUUUAAAAGAAGAAAAUGCCCAGCAAUACUUAGAAAACCCAAACGGUCCAUUAACAAAACCAAGGUUCUGGAAGUACUUCCAGUCUCCUCACAGACUGUGAGAAAAAAAAAUGUCUGUCUUCUACACCGAACAAAAGUAGUAACAUGUUACCAUAUUUGUUUUGAUUGGGGAACAAAAUUGCAACUUGAGAAAUGGGUUUAAAAUCUUUUUUAUUUUGCAGCAAGUAGAUUUUCUUUUCAUCACAGACAUGGUCUGAAAUGAUCAAAUAUAUUUUCUUAUCUUUUUCAGACUGGUAUUUGUCUUUCAGAGAAGCUGAUUCCUCCACUGUGACUCAAAUGUAAUGCUUAUAAAUGAGAGGCACAAAGUGGGGUUGCCCAAGUGCAUUCAGUCCAGACCUGAGGUAAAACAGAGAGUUAACUUAAACUUAUGGACUUUUUGAUUUGUGGCAUAUUUUUGGUGUCAAACUUGCUAGCAAGAGGUUGCCAGAUUGGAGUCUAAGUGGAACAGCUCUAGAUAACUUUAGUCAGAUGUUUGUACUUAUUAUUAAUGUUACACCCUGUGUUUGUUAAUAACUGAUAUCCUGCAAUAUAAUGAUAUAUUCUUACCAUCAUUGUAAAGUACGUAGACAGUACUGUGUUACCAAACUCUUACAGGAUUUUUCCAUCUCAGAUCAAAGUAUACACAUCAACACAUUAGCAGCCAAGACAGGAAGAUUAUUAACACUUUUUUCUUUGAGCACGGCAGCUGUAGCUUAGUGUUGAUGGAUCUCUGAUGAGAUGAUUGCCAGCACUGUCUAGGUGAAUUAAACACAGGUGUGUCAAUUAAUCCGAAGAUACAUAUCACCUAACAACACAUCUCGCUAACUGCUCAUCAGCUCAGAUGGUGGUGAAAACUUUCAGCUGUCAGUGUUGUCACAGCUGAACUGGCGGGCUGAGCUGGCUUUGAUCAGCCCCAGACUGCUGCAGGAGGCAGCUGGUCAGAGCUGAGGUAUUUUUAGCUCCCUGGAUGACAAGGCAACAUCGGAGAUCCACAGCUAAAAUGGCAAUCAUCUUAUCAUUAGCAAACCUUCAACUGCAGGGACAGAAUGUGCAUUAUCCGUGGGUUUACCAAGCCACCAAUGGGAUGCCCUUCAGAUGGCUUAAGCUGGAAAUGGACUUGUUUGAGCUUGCAUUCAUUCAUUACAAAGUAUAAGGAAAGGAACAUCAGAAAUCCCCUCAAAUGUGUGUUUUUGGAUCUCCGAUAACAGAAUGAUUAAAACACCUAAAGCCCCCCACCAAAAA